rnacentral:rRNA from 1 species
ACAGGGUGACAGCCCCGUACACAAAAAUGCACAUAUUGUGAGCUUGAUGAGUAGGGCGGGACACGUGGUAUCCUGUCUGAAUAUGGGGGGACCAUCCUCCAAGGCUAAAUACUCCUGACUGACCGAUAGUGAACCAGUACCGUGAGGGAAAGGCGAAAAGAACCCCGGCGAGGGGAGUGAAAAAGAACCUGAAACCGUGUACGUACAAGCAGUGGGAGCACGCUUAGGCGUGUGACUGCGUACCUUUUGUAUAAUGGGUCAGCGACUUAUAUUCUGUAGCAAGGUUAACCGAAUAGGGGAGCCGAAGGGAAACCGAGUCUUAACUGGGCGUUAAGUUGCAGGGUAUAGACCCGAAACCCGGUGAUCUAGCCAUGGGCAGGUUGAAGGUUGGGUAACACUAACUGGAGGACCGAACCGACUAAUGUUGAAAAAUUAGCGGAUGACUUGUGGCUGGGGGUGAAAGGCCAAUCAAACCGGGAGAUAGCUGGUUCUCCCCGAAAGCUAUUUAGGUAGCGCCUCGUGAAUUCAUCUCCGGGGGUAGAGCACUGUUUCGGCA